rnacentral:rRNA from 1 species
UACGUAGGUGACAAGCGUUGGCCGGAUUUACUGGGCGUAAAGAGCGCGCAGGCGGUCGAUCAAGGCGAGUGUGAAAGCCCCCGGCUCAACUGGGGAGGGUCAUUCGAAACUGAUCGACUUGAAGGCAGGAGAGGGUAGUGGAAUUCCCGGUGUAGUAGUGAAAUGCGUAUAUAUCGGGAGGAACACCAGUGGCGAAGGCGACUACCUGGCCUGUUCUUGACGCUGAGGCGCGAAAGCUAGAGGAGCAAACGGG